rnacentral:rRNA from 1 species
UACGAAGGGAGCAAGCGUUGCUCGGAAUAAUUGGGCGUAAAGGGUGCGUAGGCGGUUUUUUAAGUGAGAUGUUAAAGGCUCGGACCUAAUCUGAGAAAUGCAUUUCAUACUGAAAAACUCGAGUGUGGGAGAGGAAACGGGAAUUCCUCAUGUAGAGGUGAAAUUCGUAGAUAUGAGGAGGAACACCAGAGGCGAAGGCGAGUUUCUGGAACACAACUGACGCUGAGGCACGAAAGCGUGGGGAGCAAACAGG